rnacentral:tRNA from 1 species
AGCUUUAUAGUCAAUAAUGAUAUUAGACUGCAAUUCUAAAGGUGUAAAUAUAACUAAGGCUU